UGCUGGACGUAUCACAAGUGCGAAUGCUGACAUAAGUAACGAUAAAACGGGUGAAAAACCCGUUCGCCGGAAGACCAAGGUUUCCUGUCCAACGUUAAUCGGGGCAGGGUGAGUCGGCCCCUAAGGCGAGGCUGAAAAGCGUAGUCGAUGGGAAACGGGUUAAUAUUCCCGUACUUGGUAAAGCUGCGAUGUGGGGACGGAGCAGGUUAGGCAAGCAAGGUGUUGGAAAUCCUUGUUUAAGGUUGUAGGUGGGAAGACUAGGCAAAUCCGGUCUUCUUUUAACACCGAGAGCUGAUGACGAUUGUCUACGGACAAGAAGUUGCCGAUACCACACUUCCAGGAAAAGCCACUAAGCGAAAGGUUUUACUAAACCGUACUGAAAACCGACACAGGUGGUCAGGUAGAGAAUACUCAGGCGCUUGAGAGAACUCGGGUGAAGGAACUAGGCAAAAUAGCACCGUAACUUAGGGAGAAGGUGCGCUUACGGUAAUUGUAGUGCCUUGCGCAUGAAGGUGAAGUAAGUCGAAGAUACCAGCUGGCUGCAACUGUUUAUUAAAAACACAGCACUCUGCAAACACGAAAGUGGACGUAUAGGGUGUGAUGCCUGCCCGGUGCUGGAAGGUUAAUUGAUGGUGUAAUUGAAAGAGAAGCACCUGAUCGAAGCCCCAGUAAACGGCGGCCGUAACUAUAACGGUCCUAAGGUAGCGAAAUUCCUUGUCGGGUAAGUUCCGACCUGCACGAAUGGCAUAAUGAUGGCCAGGCUGUCUCCACCCGAGACUCAGUGAAAUUGAAAUCGCCGUGAAGAUGCGGUGUACCCGCGGCUAGACGGAAAGACCCCGUGAACCUUUACUAUAGCUUGACACUGAACCUUGAAUUUUAAUGUGUAGGAUAGGUGGGAGACUAAGAAGCGUGAACGCCAGUUUGCGUGGAGACGACCUUGAAAUACCACCCUUUAACGUUUGAUGUUCUAACGAAACACCAAGUACAGGUGUUCGGACAGUGUCUGGUGGGUAGUUUGACUGGGGCGGUCUCCUCCCAAAGCGUAACGGAGGAGCACGAAGGUUUGCUAAUGACGGUCGGACAUCGUCAGGUUAGUGCAAUGGUAUAAGCAGGCUUAACUGCGAGACGGACAGGUCGAGCAGGUGCGAAAGCAGGUCAUAGUGAUCCGGUGGUUCUGAAUGGAAGGGCCAUCGCUCAACGGAUAAAAGGUACUCCGGGGAUAACAGGCUGAUACCGCCCAAGAGUUCAUAUCGACGGCGGUGUUUGGCACCUCGAUGUCGGCUCAUCACAUCCUGGGGCUGAAGUAGGUCCCAAGGGUAUGGCUGUUCGCCAUUUAAAGUGGUACGCGAGCUGGGUUUAGAACGUCGUGAGACAGUUCGGUCCCUAUCUGCCGUGGGCGUUGGAUGAUUGAUUGGGGCUGCUCCUAGUACGAGAGGACCGGAGUGGACGCACCACUGGUGUACGGGUUGUGUCGCCAGACGCAUUGCCCGGUAGCUAAGUGCGGAAGAGAUAAGUGCUGAAAGCAUCUAAGCACGAAACUUGCCAAGAGAUGAGUCAUCCCAAUCUAAGAGAUUGUAAGGGUUGUUUAAGACUAAGACGUAGAUAGGUGGGGUGUGUAAGUGUUGCGAGACAUUGAGCUAACCCAUACUAAUUGCCCGAGAGGCUUAACUAU
rnacentral:rRNA from 1 species